rnacentral:rRNA from 1 species
UACGUAGGGGGCAAGCGUUGUCCGGAAUUAUUGGGCGUAAAGAGCUCGUAGGCGGUGUGUCGCGUCGGCCGUGAAAACUGUGGCUUAACCAUGGGCUUGCGGUCGAUACGGGCAUCACUGGAGUUCGGCAGGGGAGACUGGAAUUCCUGGUGUAGCGGUGAAUGCGCAGAUAAUCAGGAGGAACACCGGUGGCGAAGGCGGGUCUCUGGGCCGAUGACUGACGCUGAGGAGCGAAAGCGUGGGGAGCAAACAGG